rnacentral:lncRNA from 1 species
CUGAACGGCUUCCCGAAGAGCUCUGAAUUUUCUAUGCCAGAUUCUGCUCCAGUGGCUAGGACCUUUAUGGCUGCUGUUUCUUUUGCUCUGGGAUCUAAUGGAGGAAAAAAAAAAAGCCACGAUGGAUCCUGUCCCUAAAGUAGAAAUUUUCUUUUUCAUUCUGCAAACAAGGCUAAAGAUUGGAGGAGAAUGAAUGCAAAAGUGAGUUAGUUCUGAGUCAUUUUUCUCUGUUUCCUGUGUCUAACCAAGAUGCUGCAGGACUUUGUUGAUACAUCAGACUUCACUGAAACAAAGGCUUCACACAGAUCAGGCAUCUAAACUAUUUGUUCAUUUCAAAAGUGAAAUGAAUUUUGGCUGCAGUAUAUUUUUUCCACUUGUGUGGGAGGAAUUGUGUUUUAUUUCUGAAGAUUUCAACUAUGCUCUGCCCUGCAUUGAGAGUGAGAAGAAAAUGAAUCGUUAGACACCCCUGCCUGGCGUAUUUGGUGCUCCAGCAAAAGUCGAGAAUACGCAGUCCUGCCUCUGCGUUACUGCUUGAGCUGGGAUGACUCCAGUGGCUCUGCUCUGCCCGUCAUACUCACUGCUGCCCCUUGCCAUAGUGAUGGGAAAGUUGGUGCACUGCCUGCCUCUUUUCCUGCUCCCUCUUCUUCCCCAGUCUCAGCACAGCCAGCCCAGCCUCAGACACACAGAUGCAUUCCUGUGUGAAACUGAGAAAGGAAAAGCAUCCUUAGCAUACAGAGGAUUAAAAAUAUCUGAUGGCCAUUCCAUGUUCAAGCCCCUUAAGCAGGAUAGAGUGAAACACAUCGUGGUAUCUAUAGCAACAGGUGUGAAAUCAAAGAUUCAUUUGCAUCCAAGGAAGACUAAGAAAAUGUUGGAGCCGUGCGGUAUCUUGCUGGUGCUCCCAAAGAUGGCAAGUCCACUGGAACUGUGUGACAUAUCUACCAGCCUGACAUUGAUGUCUCAGAUGCUUCAAGUCAUCACAGAAGGCAACAGACAUUUAAUGCAUAUAUCAAGUCCUGUGUUACCUGUCCUGUUCCAUUGUACUCCUGAGAAUUUCACAAACUAUGUAUUUUGUUCAUAAAAUUAAAAUGCUGCCUUGAAAUACUCAAUUGUGACUUUUACUCUGAGUUUAUAUUUUCAGGAGGUUGGAUAAAAGCACAGAUUAAUAAAAUAUGUCAGUGGAUACUUGGUGUAGCA